UACACCGGUAUAUAAACCAGUUCAUCUGAAGUAGGUCUUCUAUAUCUUUGCUUUGCAAUACAUUGAGGGAGUCACCAUGUUUGCAAGGUUCUGUCUCGUAUUGCUGAUAGUCUGUGUGACUGUAGGGUCAAUAUCUGCUGAAAUUUCAAAGAGAUAUUCAUGUGACCAUGGAGGAAUAAGAGGGUGUUCCGCACACUGUUACGGACAAGGUUACUCACACAGCUUUUGUGACGACAACAAUAACUGCCAUUGCUCCAAUCAUGGCAAAUAGCAGUGGUUUACAUGAUGAAAUGAAAGUUUAACAGUUGAUGCUACCAAUAAAAGUUAUUUAAAGAAA